rnacentral:rRNA from 1 species
AGUAAUACAUCGGAACGUGCCCGAUCGUGGGGGAUAACGGAGCGAAAGCUUUGCUAAUACCGCAUACGAUCUACGGAUGAAAGCAGGGGACCGCAAGGCCUUGCGCGGACGGAGCGGCCGAUGGCAGAUUAGGUAGUUGGUGGGAUAAAAGCUUACCAAGCCGACGAUCUGUAGCUGGUCUGAGAGGACGACCAGCCACACUGGGACUGAGACACGGCCCAG